rnacentral:misc_RNA from 1 species
CCGAGUUAUACAACUCCCAACCCUGUGAACAUACCUAUACGUUGCCUCGGCGGAUCAGACGGCCCCGUAACACGGGCCGGCCCCGCCAGCAGGAUCCACCUAACUCUGUUUCUAUAUGUUACUUCUGAGUAACAAACAAAUAAAUUA